UAAUAAGUUUUAUUCUUUCUUUUUUGUUAAUUAAAUAUUUAAUUUAUAUGUAUUUUUUUUAUUAUUUUUUUUUUCAGUAAAUAUUUUUGUUUAAAUUAUUUUAAAUUUAUAGUAAUUUAUUUUGUUAUUGAUUAAUUUUGUGCCAGCAUUCGCGGUUAUACACUUAUUUAAAUUUAAUAUUUUAGGUUUUUUAUAUUUUUUUAUGUUAAAUAUUUUUUUUAUUUAGGUUAAAUUUAUAUUUUAAUAUUAAUUUUCUUUAGUUUUUGUAUUUAGUUAUUUGUUUAAACUAGGAUUAGAUACCCUAUUAUAUUUAAUUAAUUUUUUCUUAUUAUUAAAAGUUAAGUUCUUUAAAAUUUUAAGAAUUUGGCGGUUAUUAUAUACUUAUUAGAGGAAUAUGUAUUAUAAUUGAUAAUCCACGAUAUUUUUUACUUAAUUUUUAUUUGUAUAUCUCUAUUUAUUAGAAUUUUUAUCAAUAAUUAAUUUCUUUCUUUUUUAUAAUUAAAUUUUAGGUCAAGGUGCAGUUUUAUUUAAGUAAAUAUGUAUUAUUUUAAUUUUAUAUUUUUUUUAAAAGUUUUCUUAGUUUAAGUUUUUUUGUAUUAGGAUUUAAUAGUAAAUUUAAUUAAUUAAUUAUUUUGAAUUUAGUUCUUAAUAAUGUACAUAUCGCCCGUCACUCCUAUUUAAGGAUAAGUCGUAACAAAGUAGAAUUAUCGGAAGUUGAUUCUAGUAUUAU
rnacentral:ncRNA from 1 species